AGACCGAUAGCGAACAAGUAGAGUGAUCGAAAGAUGAAAAGCACCUUGAAAAGGGGGUUAAAUAGUACGUGAAAUUGUUGAAAGGGAAGCACUUAUGACCAGACUUGGGCCGGGCGGCUCAUCAGGGGUUCUCCCCUGUGCACUCCGCCCGGCACAGGCCAGCAUCGGUUUUCGCGGGGGGAUAAGACCGGCGGGAACGUAGCACCCUCCGGGGUGUGUUAUAGCCCACCGGACGAUACCCUCGCGGGGACCGAGGUCCGCGCUCCGCAAGGAUGCUGGCGUAAUGGUCAUCAGUGACCCGUCUUGAAACACGGACCAAG
rnacentral:rRNA from 1 species